ACUCYUACGGGAGKCAGCAGUGGGGAAUCUUGCGCAAUGCGCGAAMGCGUGACGCAGCAACGCCGCGUGGGGGAAGAAGGCCUUCGGGUUGUAAACCCCUUUCAGUUGGGACGAMSCUUCCACGGUGAAUAGCYGUGUGGAGUGACGGUACCUUCACAAGAAGCCCSGGCUAACUACGUGCCAGCAGCCGCGGUAAUACGUAGGGGGCUAGCGUUGUCCGGAAUCAUUGGGCGUAAAGCGCGUGUAGGCGGCCCGGUAAGUCCGCUGYGAAAGUCGGGGGCUCAACCYUCGGAUGCCGGUGGAUMCUKUCGGGCUAGAGUGCGGAAGAGGCGAGUGGAAUUCCUGGUGUAGCGGUGAAAUGCGCAGAUAUCAGGAGGAACACCAAUUGCGAAGGCAGCUCGCUGGGACGUGACUGACGCUGAGACGCGAAAGCGUGGGGAGCAAACAGGAUUAGAUACCCUGGUAGUCCACGCUGUAAACGAUGGGCACUAGGUGUGGGGGGUGUCGACUCCCUCCGUGCCGAAGCUAACGCAUUAAGUGCCCCSCYUGGGGRGUACGGCCGCAAGGCUAAAACUCAAAUGAAWWGACGGWKGKURG
rnacentral:rRNA from 1 species